GUGCCAGCCGCCGCGGUAAUACCGGCAGCCCGAGUGAUGGCCGAUCUUAUUGGGCCUAAAGCGUCCGUAGCUGGCUGCGCAAGUCCGUCGGGAAAUCCACUCGCCCAACGAGUGGGCGUCCGACGGAAACUGCACAGCUUGGGACCGGAAGGCUCGAAGGGUACGUUCGGGGUAGGAGUGAAAUCCCAUAAUCCCGCACGGACCACCGAUGGCGAAAGCACUUCGAGAAAACGGAUCCGACGGUGAGGUACGAAAGCCAGGGGAGCAAAGCGGAUUAGAUACCCCAGUAGUCC
rnacentral:rRNA from 1 species